CAUAUCCUACUCUGUCCCCAUGAAGCUUGUGUUAUGUAAACAUCUGUUAUAAUAACCUUUGUUGACGGCGAAAAGGACCAUUCCUGUCGCUAACCUGCCAUAAGGUUAUUUUAACAGAUGUUCAUAAAACAUAAGCUUAAUGCGGACAUAGUAGAUAUGGAUCUACAGUGGGAUGUUGUUAUCAGCAAACUAAUUAUCUGGGUAUUUACUAUAUAUCGAACCUGUAUUAACUCCAAUUCAUUAAAAAACGUUAUUAAUGCUUAUACAAAGUGUUUUAUCAGAUUUUCUGUUAGAUUUUCCAUGAAUAGCGAAACAUUAAGCAAUAUCAGUUAUAAUUUCUAGCUCGCAAAAUUAAUUUUGUAGAUGAUCUCAAUGUAGCACAUAGAAAAGCUAAAGAAGCAGAAAAUACUAGCGAUUUAAAAACUGAUUUAGAAAAUAGUGUAAAGAGAAAACGAUAUCCUACGCGACGUCUUUAUGAUUCCGAUGAUUCAACCGAGGAAAAUAAUACAAUUUCAAACUUUAAAUCGUCUACCUCCAAUAAAAAAAAUUCUAAGUUAUAUCUUGUAUAAUAAUGUAUAAGGAAUCUUUUAAAUCAUACUUAUUCUGUAUCUGACUUUUAUAAUGGAUUUCAGGCUUUUCUAAAAAUAAUUUCUCAUAUAACAAUUCAUUAUAUAUUCUGAAUGAAGAAGGCUCUUCUAAAAAUAAUAAUAAUUUAUCAUUUAAAAAUACAUCACAUAUUCUGAAUGAAGAAGGUGAUGGUAUCGCAUCAUCCAUCUCAACACAAAAAAUACACACAGUAUUAAUUAAUAAUGACAUAAAAAAG